UUAUGGCUCAGGACGAACGCUGGCGGCGUGCCUAAUACAUGCAAGUCGAACGCUUCUUUUUCCACCGGAGCUUGCUCCACCGGAAAAAGAGGAGUGGCGAACGGGUGAGUAACACGUGGGUAACCUGCCCAUCAGAAGGGGAUAACACUUGGAAACAGGUGCUAAUACCGUAUAACAAUCGAAACCGCAUGGUUUUGAUUUGAAAGGCGCUUUCGGGUGUCGCUGAUGGAUGGACCCGCGGUGCAUUAGCUAGUUGGUGAGGUAACGGCUCACCAAGGCCACGAUGCAUAGCCGACCUGAGAGGGUGAUCGGCCACAUUGGGACUGAGACACGGCCCAAACUCCUACGGGAGGCAGCAGUAGGGAAUCUUCGGCAAUGGACGAAAGUCUGACCGAGCAACGCCGCGUGAGUGAAGAAGGUUUUCGGAUCGUAAAACUCUGUUGUUAGAGAAGAACAAGGAUGAGAGUAACUGUUCAUCCCUUGACGGUAUCUAACCAGAAAGCCACGGCUAACUACGUGCCAGCAGCCGCGGUAAUACGUAGGUGGCAAGCGUUGUCCGGAUUUAUUGGGCGUAAAGCGAGCGCAGGCGGUUUCUUAAGUCUGAUGUGAAAGCCCCCGGCUCAACCGGGGAGGGUCAUUGGAAACUGGGAGACUUGAGUGCAGAAGAGGAGAGUGGAAUUCCAUGUGUAGCGGUGAAAUGCGUAGAUAUAUGGAGGAACACCAGUGGCGAAGGCGGCUCUCUGGUCUGUAACUGACGCUGAGGCUCGAAAGCGUGGGGAGCAAACAGGAUUAGAUACCCUGGUAGUCCACGCCGUAAACGAUGAGUGCUAAGUGUUGAAGGGUUUCCGCCCUUCAGUGCUGCAGCUAACGCAUUAAGCACUCCGCCUGGGGAGUACGACCGCAAGGUUGAAACUCAAAGGAAUUGACGGGGGCCCGCACAAGCGGUGGAGCAUGUGGUUUAAUUCGAAGCAACGCGAAGAACCUUACCAGGUCUUGACAUCCUUUGACCACUCUAGAGAUAGAGCUUCCCCUUCGGGGGCAAAGUGACAGGUGGUGCAUGGUUGUCGUCAGCUCGUGUCGUGAGAUGUUGGGUUAAGUCCCGCAACGAGCGCAACCCUUAUUGUUAGUUGCCAUCAUUCAGUUGGGCACUCUAGCAAGACUGCCGGUGACAAACCGGAGGAAGGUGGGGAUGACGUCAAAUCAUCAUGCCCCUUAUGACCUGGGCUACACACGUGCUACAAUGGGAAGUACAACGAGUCGCGAAGUCGCGAGGCUAAGCUAAUCUCUUAAAGCUUCUCUCAGUUCGGAUUGCAGGCUGCAACUCGCCUGCAUGAAGCCGGAAUCGCUAGUAAUCGCGGAUCAGCACGCCGCGGUGAAUACGUUCCCGGGCCUUGUACACACCGCCCGUCACACCACGAGAGUUUGUAACUCCCGAAGUCGGUGAGGUAACCUUUUGGAGCCUGCCGCCUAAGGUGGGAUAGAUGAUUGGGGUGAAGUCGUAACAAGGU
rnacentral:rRNA from 1 species